UACGGGGGGGGCAAGCGUUGUUCGGAAUUACUGGGCGUAAAGGGCUCGUAGGCGGCCAACUAAGUCAGACGUGAAAUCCCUCGGCUUAACCGGGGAACUGCAUCUGAUACUGGAUGGCUUGAGUUCGGGAGAGGGAUGUGGAAUUCCAGGUGUAGCGGUGAAAUGCGUAGAUAUCUGGAGGAACACCGGUGGCGAAGGCGCACACCUGGCCCGAUACUGACGCUGAGGCGCGAAAGCGAGGGGAGCAAACGGG
rnacentral:rRNA from 1 species